rnacentral:rRNA from 1 species
AGGCUUAACACAUGCAAGUCGAGGGGUAACAGAGAGUGCUUGCACUCUGCUGACGACCGGCGCACGGGUGAGUAACGCGUAUGCAACCUACCUUUUACAGGGGAAUAGCCCAGAGAAAUUUGGAAUAAUGCCCCAUAUUAUCUUUUUUUCGCAUGAUUUAGAGAUGAAAGUUUCGACGGUAAAAGAUGGGCAUGCGUCCUAUUAGUUUGUUGGUAAGGUAACGGCUUACCAAGACUACGAUAGGUAGGGGCCCUGAGAGGGGGACCCCCCACACUGGUACUGAGACACGGACCAGACUCCUACGGGAGGCAGCAGUGAGGAAUAUUGGACAAUGGAGGAAACUCUGAUCCAGCCAUGCCGCGUGCAGGAUGAAUGCCCUAUGGGUUGUAAACUGCUUUUAUACAGGAAGAAACCUUUCCACGUGUGGGAACUUGACGGUACUGUAAGAAUAAGGAUCGGCUAACUCCGUGCCAGCAGCCGCGGUAAUACGGAGGAUCCGAGCGUUAUCCGGAAUUAUUGGGUUUAAAGGGUCCGUAGGUGGUUAUUUAAGUCAGAGGUGAAAUCCUGCCGCUUAACGGUAGAACUGCCUUUGAUACUGAUUAACUUGAGUUAUUGUGAAGUAGUUAGAAUAUGUAGUGUAGCGGUGAAAUGCAUAGAUAUUACAUAGAAUACCGAUUGCGAAGGCAGAUUACUAACAAUAUACUGACACUGAGGGACGAAAGCGUGGGUAGCGAACAGGAUUAGAUACCCUGGUAGUCCACGCCGUAAACGAUGGUCACUAGCUGUUUGAUUAACAUUGGUUAAUUAAGUGGCUAAGCGAAAGUGAUAAGUGACCCACCUGGGGAGUACGCU